UACGUAGGGUGCGAGCGUUGUCCGGAAUUAUUGGGCGUAAAGAGCUCGUAGGCGGUCUGUCGCGUCUGCUGUGAAAUCCCGAGGCUCAACCUCGGGUCUGCAGUGGGUACGGGCAGACUAGAGUGCGGUAGGGGAGAGUGGAACUCCUGGUGUAGCGGUGGAAUGCGCAGAUAUCAGGAAGAACACCGAUGGCGAAGGCAGUUCUCUGGGCCGUAACUGACGCUGAGGAGCGAAAGCGUGGGGAGCGAACAGG
rnacentral:rRNA from 1 species